rnacentral:rRNA from 1 species
UACCAGCACCCCGAGUGGUCGGGACGUUUUAUUGGGCCUAAAGCAUCCGUAGCCGGUUCUACAAGUCUUCCGUUAAAUCCACCUGCUUAACAGGUGGGCUGCGGAAGAUACUAUAGAGCUAGGAGGCGGGAGAGGCAAGCGGUACUCGAUGGGUAGGGGUAAAAUCCGUUGAUCCAUUGAAGACCACCAGUGGCGAAGGCGGCUUGCCAGAACGCGCUCGACGGUGAGGGAUGAAAGCUGGGGGGAGCAAACCGGG